UCUUCUUUCCUCAGUCCUUAGUGAAUGGUAGAGAUUCAUGAGAAGUCAAAGGAAUGGUAUUGUCCUCACAUUUGACUGUGGCAGAGACGCUGGAUCAUGUUGCAAGCGUCAUAAUGCUAAAAGAAGAAUGCUAAAAGAAGAAAAGGACAAACCUUGACUGUUUCUUUCUUGUUGAACAUUUUAGUUUUAUCUUCCUUCACAAGUACAGCAUAUUGAAAGCAGAGAUAAUUUCCCAGAAAAAUACCAGUUCCUGAUGGUAUUUACAGAACAUCUAUAAUUUUUAGAGAUUUAGUUCCAUGUGGACCCAUGGCAAGAGCACUGCUGAUCUUAGCUCUGCACUGCCGUUUACAUCGAUGCCAUGUAUCUUAACUCAGCAACACUGCAGUUCAUUUUUCAUUCAUGUAAGUCACCAGCAGAUCCGCAAUCAUUUGACUCAUUGAACAGUGGGUAACGUGUUUUGAGAUAAGGGGACCAGUUACGUGAGUUUUAUUUUGGGAAGCGUUAAUCACUCACCUACAAUACCAUGAAUUUCAAGUUUUAUUGAUGGAAAGCAGCUUCCCAGAAGGAUGAGUUGGUUCAGCUCACUGAUGACAGAAAGUACACUUCUCAGCAUGUGGGAGGGAAGAGAGGAUUAAUUUUCUAUCAAGCGAAUGUUUCAGCCAACUCAUCCUGUGGGCUCAAGCUUGCAAGGGAAAGGAUUACAAGUGUGUACAUGGUAAACAGGACCUUUCAGCAGAUGACUUCAGCUGCAGUGAAAGACUGUCCUUGUCACUCUGCAGUUGGGAGCCCAAGAACAUGGAGGGUGAUGCUUAUAUGCCAAAUGAAGAUGAAGUGUUUCAAUUUUAUCAUGAGGUAUGCCAGGCAAAGUCAACUCAAAAUAAAGGAACAAAAUUAAAUUCUUCAUACAUAAAGUUAUUUGCCACAUAUCAGACAGCAAACAAUUUCACUUAUCUUUCUUUAUAUCAGCAAGAAAUGGACUAGCCUAAACCAAGGUUUUUUAUUGGAAUGUGAAAGACAGAUGGGAGAUGAGGAAGACAAAGUUGGACCUUAUCCAGUUUUUUAUUGCAAGUCAUGAGACUGGGAUGAAAUUUUGAAAUUCUGCCUGACAACAGGAAAAAAAAGGAUGGAGACAAGAGAAGA